UUACAUUUGAAAUAAUGAAGUGUUUUAGUGAUGUUUCUAACACAAUCGAACUCUUUAUUCGCCCUUGAUUUCAGCAACUAAGAACUGAUCAUCCCUUGGUUCUUUCGUUGUUGAGAUAUUGUUAAUCUGCCCAUAAUUCUAUUGUAAUGGGCCGACCAACCUGACCCACUCAUUUUGAUCCGGCCCUGAUUAGUCUGAUCCUUCUUUAGCCUUGAUUUUGAGGAUGUAGUAUGGUUCUGUCGCCCGGACACUCAUCGGCCUGUGGUUUCCUCUAAAAUUACAAAGAACGAAAUGUGUUUUCACAUAAAGUCUC
rnacentral:lncRNA from 1 species